rnacentral:rRNA from 1 species
UACGAAGGGGGCUAGCGUUGUUCGGAAUUACUGGGCGUAAAGCGCACGUAGGCGGACAUUUAAGUCAGGGGUGAAAUCCCAGAGCUCAACUCUGGAACUGCCUUUGAUACUGGGUGUCUUGAGUAUGGAAGAGGUGAGUGGAAUUCCGAGUGUAGAGGUGAAAUUCGUAGAUAUUCGGAGGAACACCAGUGGCGAAGGCGGCUCACUGGUCCAUUACUGACGCUGAGGUGCGAAAGCGUGGGGAUCAAACAGG